UAAACCAAACAUUGCCGUAGAUAAUUCG
rnacentral:sRNA from 1 species